GAACUCUUAUUAACCUUUCCCCAUUGAAGUUAUCUGCUCAUUGCAUUGCUGAGGUAACAUAAUAUGUCCUCCUUGUGCAUGAUACCAUUCAACAUUCAUAUUUUCUAGCAAAUUCGUGAAGUAACAAUGUCAGUACCAGACACAUGAGUUGUUGUUGAAUAAGGCAUAGAUUUUAGAAUUUCACUUUUACUCUAGUGAACUGUUGCAUUGGGUUGAUUUACAAUACAGAAAAUUCGUGAAGUACCAGAUCCAGCAGCAGACAUAUUGUUGUUGAACAAGGCAUAGAUUUCACAAUUUCAUUUUUUUCCCUACCGGUUAGUUGCAUUUGGUUGAUUACAAUACAGCACCACUACCAGUACCAGACAUAUGAUUUGUUGCUGAACAAGGCAUAGAUUUCAAAAUUUCAAUUUUACUCUGUUGGACAAUUGCAUUGCGUUGAUUUACGAUACAGGCAUCAGAGCACUGAGCGCGGGACUUACAAAAGCCACCAACAAGGAGAAGCAUUCCGGUUGUUGUCUUUGAUUUCAGAAGGAAAUGGAAAUUAUAAUUGCAAUUGCCUCAAAAAUUGGAGAGUCCUUGGUCAC